rnacentral:misc_RNA from 1 species
AAAUGAACCUAAGAUCAAAAAAAAAAAAAGCAUUGAAUGGAUACCAAUGCACUUCUAAUUAGGCAUAGUCACGUUACUGUCACUAAUUCUUACAGCCUGUGAUCAACUCAAGACUCGCAGAAAUACAAAAUAAAAUUCAAUGCCUUGAGCACGUAACUCCUUGUAAGUCAAAUCACUAUAUGCAUAUUGAAUUCAAUAAAUGGCCAAUUGGCAAGCGGCCUUGCAAUCCUCUUUCUGCUAAGAUCCAACAGGAGCAAUGCCUUUAGCUUUGGCUGCUGCAGUUGCGGCAGCAGCGGCAGCUGCUGCUGCUGCAGCUGCAGAUGCUGCUGGAUUAGGCGUUGACGGAGGCACUGGGUUGGACUGUGAACUGCCCUGUUGUGCAACCAUCUGCUGCUGUUGUUGCUGAUGUUGUUGCUGUGAGUUUACUUGGGCAAGCAGAGCCUUGAUUUGACUUCC